UUUCGACAUUUUGCGUCAUCGGUAGAUUAGAAAGUAGAAUAAAUUGUAUUGUGCAGGGUAGUUAAUAGUUAGAAUGCAGAAUUGAGAAUCUCGACUCCGACUUGGAUUAUUUACAGAUGACAUCCCAAAUCUAGCAAACGUGGUCAUAGUUUUUCGCCCACAGUCGUAUCAGCUACCCUUUCAACUAAUAGAUCAAGAAUAAUGAAUUGAAACUACUUUGAUGGAUGUAUCUAAUUCGGCCGGAAAAUGUAUUCGAUAUAAGAUGAGAAUCGCGUAGUGAUUCGGCUACAAAUUUAUUCGCUUGUUUGAGACUGGACUGGAAAACAUGAGCGAUAAUGGUACUCAAGCUACAUUAAACGAUACGGAUGCUGACACUGUUGACGAACACGCCGACCAAACUGAAAUACUUUCUCAAGUACCGUAGAAACUACUGCAGAAGACUCUCACACCACAGAAUUACUUCAAUCCGGUACCGAACACGAUAACGAAACGCAGAUUUCUCCUGAAACUCGAGUUGACGAAUUUUUACCAACUAUAAUUGAUAGUCGUGGCGUUUGUGACGAUUCUUCGAAUCUAGAAACUUCACGAACUAAUGCAGUUAAUGCAACUAUCGCUGCAAAUGAAAAUAAUGUAGCGUGCGUUAUCGAUGACGCUGACGGUGCUGAUACUCACUCGAUUACCAACACCGAAGAACCUUCCAAUUGUGAUAAUACUAAUAAUAAAUCGGAUACGGUUUUGAAUUCGAACGUAGUAAAUAAGAAAGAAUCACGCGAUGAGGACAUUGAUAACGAUUACAUGUUGGUCGACUUGAUGAUAUCGGUAUGUACUAUGUACUUCGUUUCACGUCGGAAAUUGAAAUCAAAGAGGAACGAAUCAACGAGCGGAAUUUAUUAAAUACGAACGGUCCCCUGAUUGGAGCCACGAAUACAUCCGAGAGACGACGACGGAAACCUGCUCCGAACGACGACGACGGGAACUACUUUUUACGCGGAGCAGCAAUUUCGUGAACCAGAUCUUGAUCCGAAUCUGAAUCAUCCACCUCCUCUACGUGAACCAGAAACAGAUCUUCAUCCGAAUCUGGAUCAUCCACCUGCUGUUCGUUCAGCCUGUCAUCAAUGAAAUUGAACGGAGACGGUAGAUGACCAGCGCGACCACGUGCUCGUCCAGCUCUGCUUCCUCUCGGUCUUCUAGCGCCGCCGCCGCCUCGCGCUUGUUCAGCGCCGCCGCCUCGCGCACCUCUAGCGCCGCGUGCACCGCCGCCUCGCGCUUGUUCAGCGCCGCCGCCUCGCGCACCUCUAGCACCGCGUGCGCCGCCACCUCGCGCUUGUUCAGCGCCGCCACCGCGGGCACCUCUAGCGCCGCCACCGCGGGCACCUCUAGCGCCGCCACCGCGGGCACCUCUAGCGCCGCCACCGCGGGCACCUCUAGCGCCGCGCGCUCUUCUGUUACCGCCGCGCGCUCCUCUGGCACCACCGCGCACUUGACCAGCGUCACCCUGAGCAUCGGCGUUGUCACCGUCGCCACCAGGUGGAGGAUUUCCCCCGUGUAGGAGUGGCAAUGCAGGAGGUGGCGGUAUAUCUGCGUCGUCAUCUGCGAAUUGACGGAUCACCGGUUCAUCAUCUGCAAUAGAAACUAAGUAAGUAACAAUAACGAAAACAGUCGUGUAUUACUUGGAAACACUUACCCCAAUCCAGCUCUAUAUUUAUUACUUCGAUUACGUCGUGUCCGUCUACAGCUGCCACGGGGUCUUCCUCUGGUAGUCGGUAAAAAAAGAAUUAGUUUCGAUUCUAAGAAAAAAAUAAUAAUUUCUUGUAAUGAUUACAAACCUCGCUCUCGCGCGUUGUCCCUCGCCGCAUCUGCCUCUGGCGCUGCUACAUCAGGCGCAUGGUGGCCUAAAAAUCGGAGCACUUCUUCGGCAGUUCUAACGCCCCUGUCAUACUCAUCCCAAGCACGGGUCAAGUCACGCUCAUGCGCUUCUUGUCGUCUGUCUGCCGGCCAACGAACUUGCUGCGCUUGCCCGGCUCGCAGGUAUCUCCCAUACUGGGCAUUGCUCACCUCCAUCAUUCCGUCUGAAAAUGUUUUAUAGCCUAAUAAAUAUCACUCAAUACCUACCUACAUGACGAUGGUGGUGUGUCCACUUACUCAGAAAAGUAUCGUAACUGGGACGGUGCUGCCGUACCGUCAUCUGCUCCGGUAGGCGCCUAUUGAGUGCUUCCAUUUCGUUGUUCGUCCUUCUUGGUUGACCAUAUACAGAAAGUAGUGCACGUCCUGUGAACAGAAUGUAUUAAUAGCAAUAUUCUACACAAUACGUAUAUUACUUGUGUGUGUACUCACGGGGAAACCAAUACGCCCGUAAGUAUUGGUAAAAGCUUUGCGCUUCCGGCGACUGCGAUUCUCUCACAUACUCCCGCAGUAUGGAGAAUCCCAGGGGGAUAUCGUCUGCGGGGAGCAGAGGGAGCGCGGUGGCCAUUUCGUAGAUCCUGCGAAGCACUGGAUUGGCUUGCACAAUGGCGGUGGUGAGUCCGUGCGCUGCGCGAUUUCGCCUCAGCGCCUGCACGUAGUGAAAAUAACAUCCCAAUAAUUGUGCUAGUGGCCAAACAAUGCGCACAGCUCGCUGUAAUGCCAGCUCGAAGUCGGUAAUUACUAUGCGUGGAAGCAUAUUCUGCACUACCCGCUGCAAUGCCCUGAAUACCUCCACAUAGCAGAUGGUAUUACGCCGCCUCAUCACAGCCCAGGCAACCAUGUACAUCGUUCCGAACGCGGAGGCCAUAAUCACCAGUAACUGUGUGGCCUCCGGAAUGUUCGGGCAUGACCGGAACGUACCAUCAAUACUAAAGAUGGGGUACCCACUGUCGAAGUUCCGGAGACACAAACAGGACGGAGUGCUGUCCCACGCUUUCUACAACGAGGGAAUUGCCGUUGGGCCGGGUGAUUAGACCGUGAUAUGCCUGGUUGGUUCGCAAUAAUUCCCCGAAUUGCCUCACAGUUGCAGGCGGCGGCGGGACCACUGUUAACCUCCAUCUGUCCAUCGACCGCCUCAUCGACUCUAAAUUCAUCCUCUGCAAAACUGCAUCAGGGCGCCUGUCAAGAAAUUAAACAUGCUUAUGGAAUGAAAAAAGUAUGAAUUGACUAGUCGUGAUAAUAUCUCAAGAAGUGCGCAUUUUUUAACUCAACUAUUAGCGGAAAAAUUCGGUCGAUUUUGGCGGAAUGAAAGUAAUUUGAUGGCAGGUGCGCAGUGUCAGCUGCCAAAUUCGUAUACCGAAAUGCAGAAGAAUGGUUUAAAGGAAUGGAGCUGGUUGGACUUGUUAAUCCGUUGGAUAUGAGUAAGGUUCGUAAAUGAUUAUUGAUAGGUAUUGUUUUAAAUCCGGAAUUGUCUUUCCUGUUCGUACAGCAACGUUUUAUUCUAUUUGCGGGGAAAAAAAUCCUCGCUGUUCUUUUGCAUAACGAUUUGUGUUCCCAGUCCCUUAUUUUACGCGCUUAUGAGCACCAUAAUUAUUCCAGGUCGGUCGAAACUUUACCUCUCAGAGGUUCUGAUAAUGUGAGUGUGAAACUUGGCCUACAUACUUGAAUAACUAUCUGUGGUAUACAAGUAUGUUUCUUUAUUUCUUGUAAUUACCUUUUCUUGAUUUUUGUCUUC